CCUACGGGCGGCAGCAGUGAGGAAUAUUGGUCAAUGGUCGGGAGACUGAACCAGCCAAGCCGCGUGAGGGAUGAAGGUACAGAGUAUCGUAAACCUCUUUUGUCAGGGAACAAAGGCGGGGACGCGUCCCCGGAUGAGUGUACCUGAAGAAAAAGCAUCGGCUAACUCCGUGCCAGCAGCCGCGGUAAUACGGAGGAUGCGAGCGUUAUCCGGAUUUAUUGGGGUUAAAGGGUGCGCAGGGGGUUUGUUAAGUCAGCGGUGAAAGGCCGGGGCUCAACCCUGGCCCCGCGGUUGAACUUGGCAGUCGCGAGUUGGAGAGAAGUAGGCGGAAUGCGCGGUGUAGCGGUGAAAUGCAUAGAUAUCGCGAAGAACUCCGAUUGCGAAGGCAGCAUGCCGGCUCCACACUGACGCUGAGGCACGAAAGCGUGGGUAUCGAACAGGAUUAGAUACCCUUGUAGUC
rnacentral:rRNA from 1 species